rnacentral:ncRNA from 12 species
AUUCUUUGAGGUGAAAAAAGCGUAGUCAUGCACCACAUGCCGUUGGCAAUGGGUAAAAGAGAUGUUGGGAGUGACGCACCAACCAAAGAAU